AGUGAACGCUGGCGGUAGGCCUAACACAUGCAAGUCGAACGGCAGCACAGUAAGAGCUUGCUCUUACGGGUGGCGAGUGGCGGACGGGUGAGGAAUACAUCGGAAUCUACUUUUUCGUGGGGGAUAACGUAGGGAAACUUACGCUAAUACCGCAUACGACCUACGGGUGAAAGCAGGGGAUCUUCGGACCUUGCGCGAUUGAAUGGGCCGAUGUCGGAUUAGCUAGUUGGCGGGGUAAAGGCCCACCAAGGCGACGAUCCGUAGCUGGUCUGAGAGGAUGAUCAGCCACACUGGAACUGAGACACGGUCCAGACUCCUACGGGAGGCAGCAGUGGGGAAUAUUGGACAAUGGGCGCAGGCCUGAUCCAGCCAUACCGCGUGGGUGAAGAAGGCCUUCGGGUUGUAAAGCCCUUUUGUUGGGAAAGAAAAGCAGCAGGUUAAUACCCCGCUGUUCUGACGGUACCCAAAGAAUAAGCACCGGCUAACUUCGU
rnacentral:rRNA from 1 species